rnacentral:rRNA from 1 species
UACGGAGGGUGCAAGCAUUAAUCGGAUUUAUUGGGCGUAAAGGGCGCGUAGGUGGGGAUUUAAGUCAAAUGUGAAAUCCCAGAGCUCAACUCUGGAACAGCAUUUGAAACUGAGUUUCUUGAGGGUAGAAGGAGAAAAUGGAAUUCCACAAGUAGCGGUGAAAUGCGUAGAUAUGUGGAAGAACACCGGUGGCGAAGGCGAUUUUCUAUUUUACAACUGACGCUGAGGCGCGAAAGCAAGGGGAGCAAACAGG